UCUCUUGGAUUGCACACGCUGGGAUUGUCUCCUACGAGCAGGUCUGCGCCCUCACAGCCGGUCCCGGGACAGCGUGGUCCGCCUCCCCCGAGCCCCCAUUGUGUCUUGAUACUUUGGGGUGCACAUGGCUAUUGAUCUCUAUUGCCGUUUGGCUUGUCUGUGGGGAAUACAUGAGCCCCGAAUCUACACAGACUGGGCCAAUCAUUACCUAGCCAAAUCCGGCCACAAGCGUCUUAUCAAGGAUCUCCAGCAAGAUGUGACAGAUGGCGUCCUCCUGGCCCAGAUUAUCCAGGUUGUGGCAAAUGAAAAGAUUGAAGACAUCAAUGGCUGUCCGAAGAACAGAUCCCAAAUGAUUGAAAACAUAGAUGCCUGCUUGAAUUUCCUGGCAGCUAAGGGAAUAAACAUCCAGGGGCUGUCUGCAGAAGAGAUCAGGAAUGGAAACCUCAAGGCCAUUCUAGGCCUCUUCUUCAGCCUCUCCCGAUUCAAGCAGCAGCAGCAGCAGCCCCAGAAGCAGCACCUCUCCUCACCUCUGCCGCCCGCCGUAUCCCAGGUGGCCGGGGCCCCCUCCCAGUGCCAGGCUGGCACCCCUCAGCAGCAGGUGCCAGUCACUCCCCAAGCCCCGUGCCAGCCUCACCAGCCAGCGCCACAUCAGCAGUCAAAAGCACAAGCUGAAAUGCAGUCCAG
rnacentral:sRNA from 1 species